rnacentral:rRNA from 1 species
UACGUUCCCGGACCUUGUACACACCGCCCGUCAAGCCAUGGAAGUCGGGGGGUGCCUGAAGAUGGUGACCUAACGAGGAGCUAUCUAGGGUAAAACUGGUAACUAGGGCU